rnacentral:lncRNA from 1 species
ACCUGCUGAUGUUGAGGCCCAGCAAGUUUCACAGAAAGAAAGAAGCUGCAUCGUGAAUAGCCUAGGAGAUAUGGAGCCUCCAUCCUUCACCUUGUGUUAUCUGCUGAAACUGGAACGUCCAAGAAGACUGUCACUCACGUGCCUGGCACCUGGAUCGAGGGGUGCUAUGCAUGGAACUCCAGGAUUUGAAGAUUCAUGGGAAGAUUAGCUGUGGUUAUAAGAAGGAAUUGAAAACUCAAAAAUAGAAGAGAGCCUUGCACAUACUAGGAAAGUGCUCUGAGAGAGACUAUUAGAGAAACAGAAAAGCUCAAUACGGCUGCAACAAAGACAGAAAUGGAGGACAGACCUGGAGGUCUUACUGGGACCCCACCAGUAUCCCAAGAAACAGACAAAGGAUGACAUGCC